AAACUUAGGUUAUUACAAACCAGGAGCCUUCAAAGCCCCAAAUAGGGAAAAUCCCUAGUUUUUG
rnacentral:tRNA from 1 species